GACGAACGCUGGCGGCGUGCUUAACACAUGCAAGUCGAACGGAAAGGCCUCUUUCGGGGGGUACUCGAGUGGCGAACGGGUGAGUAACACGUGAGUAACCUGCCCUUGACUUUGGGAUAACUUCAGGAAACUGGGGCUAAUACCGGAUAGGAGCUCCUGCUGCAUGGUGGGGGUUGGAAAGUUUCGGCGGUUGGGGAUGGACUCGCGGCUUAUCAUCUUGUUGGUGGGGUAGUGGCUUACCAAGGCUUUGACGGGUAGCCGGCCUGAGAGGGUGACCGGCCACAUUGGGACUGAGAUACGGCCCAGACUACUACGGGAGGCAGCAGUGGGGAAUAUUGAACAAUGGGUGGAAGCCUGAUGCAGCAACGCCGUGUGCGGGAUGACGGACUUCGGGUUGUAAAACGCUUUCGCUCAUGACGAAGCUUUGUGUGACGGUAGUGGGUAAAGAAGCACCGGCUAACUACGUG
rnacentral:rRNA from 1 species